AAUUAUGUCAUUUUCUCCCACAAAUUUCAGUGCCCUUCCAGUUUUUUUCUUCUCCUCAAACAACCACUUAAACCUUCAACUGUUUCUUUCAAAGACCAUAUAAUUCCUUGAGGCUUUUUCCUACUGCAAGGAGAAGAUUAUAAAAGAAUUAAUCCCCCCCUAACCUCAUCACCUUAAUUCAGUCUAUUUCACUCCACCCAUACAAAACCUAUCUAUCUUCUCUCAGUUGCAUCAAGUUCUUCUUCCCUAUGGAAAAUUCAACCAAGAACUCCAUUGCAACAACAGUACUACUACUUGUGUUUCUUACUCAAUUCAGUGCCACGUUUUCUACUACUGCAGCCAAAGGCUUCAACACCCAUGGCUAUUCGCACCUCAGAACAGGAUAAGGGGCAGCUUCAUCUUCUUCAUUUCAUAUUCAAGUUUUGGCAGGAAAAAUAAUUCUCUACCGGCAGAUUUAGGGUUUGUGAUUUGGGCGUGCUUUAAGGAGACUAAAGGGCUGAGAUUAAUUGGGUCUGUUCCUCCGGGCUAGACAGGGUUGGUAAUGGUCAUCAUUCAGAUCAUAAUUGGUUAUAAUGGUGGAUUUAAUGAUUGAACAGUUUCCGGGAUUUCUCAAUAUUAUCUGCAUUGAGUUUGAACUUGAUUUGGCCGUAGAUUUCAUUAGUUUUGGAUCGAGAGUGACAUGUCAUGCCUAAACAGGGAAGGUGACGUGUUUGAGCAACAAAAAUAAAGACCAAAUAUCCUCGAAUUUGUUAAACAGGGAAGAUGUACUUCACAAACGGCUGGAUUUAUGGAAAAGAUUUGGAAGAUAUUCUUUGAGAUUUGUUCACUGGAUUUGAUUAGGAUUGACCUGUUUCCACUAAACAGGUGUGGUAAUUGAAUUGAAAUCAAAAGAGGAAUGAUAUUUUAUCGUUUGGAAGAUAAUCAGGGCAAUUGUUUAUGUACGUGAAGAUAACUCGGGAUUUGGUUGAGACUGAGUUUGGCAAGUGAGUGUUUCACGAGUUUGCUGAAGUUCGACAGAAGGUGGCAGAGUGUAGAAGAUAAAUAAGGAAGAAAAUAACAGCUACAGGGCGUACGAAAAGAUAAUAAUAUGGAAAUAAAUCCCGUAUCCUGCAUGGAAAUAAAGAGAAUAUUGUUGAUUGAUUGCGGGGAUCUGAUGGUGCUGCUGGAUAUAAAUAGAGUCAGUGGAGAUUAGAGAAGGCUAUCGAGAGUUGGGGAGAAGAACAGAAGGUUGCAGAGCAGCAGCA